UGGGGAAUUUUGGACAAUGGGCGAAANCCUGAUCCAGCAAUGCCGCGUGUGUGAAGAAGGCCUUCGGGUUGUAAAGCACUUUUGUCCGGAAAGAAAUCCUUGGCUCUAAUACAGUCGGGGGAUGACGGUACCGGAAGAAUAAGCACCGGCUAACUACGUGCCAGCAGCCGCGGUAAUACGUAGGGUGCAAGCGUUAAUCGGAAUUACUGGGCGUAAAGCGUGCGCAGGCGGUUUGCUAAGACCGAUGUGAAAUCCCCGGGCUCAACCUGGGAACUGCAUUGGUGACUGGCAGGCUAGAGUAUGGCAGAGGGGGGUAGAAUUCCACGUGUAGCAGUGAAAUGCGUAGAGAUGUGGAGGAAUACCGAUGGCGAAGGCAGCCCCCUGGGCCAAAUACUGACGCUCAUGCACGAAAAGCGUGGGGAGCAAACAGGAUUAGAUACCCUGGUAGUCCACGCCCUAAAACGAUGUCAACUAGUUGUUGGGGAUUCAUUUCCUUAGUAACGUAGCUAACGCGUGAAGUUGACCGCCUGGGGAGUACGGUCGCAAGAUUAAAACUUCAAAUGAAUUGACGGGGUCAUA
rnacentral:rRNA from 1 species